GAUGAACGCUGGCGGCGUGCCUAAUACAUGCAAGUCGAGCGAACAGACGAGGAGCUUGCUCCUCUGACGUUAGCGGCGGAAGGGUGAGUAACACGUGGAUAACCUACCUAUAAGACUGGGAUAACUUCGGGAAACCGGAGCUAAUACCGGAUAAUAUAUUGAACCGCAUGGUUCAAUAGUGAAAUACGGUUUUGCUGUCACUUCUAGAUGGAUCCGCGCCGCAUUAGCUAGUUGGUAAGGUAACGGCUUACCAAGGCAACGAUGCGUAGCCGACCUGAGAGGGUGAUCGGCCACACUGGAACGGAGACGCGGUCCAGACUCCUACGGGAGGCAGCAGUAGGGAAUCUUCCGCAAGGGGCGAAAGCCUGACGGAGCAACGCCGCGUGAGUGAUGAAGGGCUUCGGAUCGUAAAACUCUGUUAUUAGGGAAGAACAAAUGUGUAAGUAACUAUGCACGUCUUGACGGUACCUAAUCAGAAAGCCACGGCUAACUACGUG
rnacentral:rRNA from 1 species